rnacentral:rRNA from 1 species
AUGGGGGCAACCCUGAUCCAGCCAUGCCGCGUGAGUGAUGAAGGCCUUAGGGUCGUAAAGCUCUUUCGCCUGUGAAGAUAAUGACGGUAGCAGGUAAAGAAACCCCGGCUAACUCCGUGCCAGCAGCCGCGGUAAUACGGAGGGGGUUAGCGUUGUUCGGAAUUACUGGGCGUAAAGCGCACGUAGGCGGAUCGGAAAGUUGGGGGUGAAAUCCCGGGGCUCAACCCCGGAACUGCCUCCAAAACUAUCGGUCUAGAGUUCGAGAGAGGUGAGUGGAAUUCCGAGUGUAGAGGUGAAAUUCGUAGAUAUUCGGAGGAACACCAGUGGCGAAGGCGGCUCACUGGCUCGAUACUGACGCUGAGGUGCGAAAGUGUGGGGAGCAAACAGGAUUAGAUACCCUGGUAGUCCACACCGUAAACGAUGAAUGCCAGUCGUCGGGUAGCAUGCUAUUCGGUGACACACCUAACGGAUUAAGCAUUCCG